rnacentral:rRNA from 1 species
CCUACGGGUGGCAGCAGUGGGGAAUAUUGCACAAUGGGGGAAACCCUGAUGCAGCCAUGCCGCGUGUGUGAAGAAGGCCUUCGGGUUGUAAAGCACUUUCACCGGUGAAGAUAAUGACGGUAACCGGAGAAGAAGCCCCGGCUAACUUCGUGCCAGCAGCCGCGGUAAUACGAAGGGGGCUAGCGUUGUUCGGAAUUACUGGGCGUAAAGCGCGCGUAGGCGGAUAGAUAAGUCAGAGGUGAAAUCCCGGGGCACAACCCCGGAAUUGCCUUUGAUACUGUUUAUCUUGAGUGCAGAAGAGGUAAGUGGAAUUCCGAGUGUAGAGGUGAAAUUCGUAGAUAUUGGGAAGAACACCGGUGGCGAAGGCGGCUACCUGGCUCGAUACUGACGCUGAGGCGCGAAAGCGUGGGGAGCAAACAGGAUUAGAUACCCUCGUAGUC